UACGAAGGGGGCUAGCGUUGCUCGGAAUUACUGGGCGUAAAGGGCGCGUAGGCGGAUGUUUAAGUCAGAGGUGAAAGCCCAGGGCUCAACCUUGGAACUGCCUUUGAUACUGGACAUCUUGAGUGUGGGAGAGGUGAGUGGAACUCCGAGUGUAGAGGUGAAAUUCGUAGAUAUUCGGAAGAACACCAGUGGCGAAGGCGACUCACUGGCCCAUUACUG
rnacentral:rRNA from 1 species